rnacentral:rRNA from 1 species
AUGGAUCUGCUUCGGAUGGUGAUGGUGGGAGCAAGCGGGACGCCAUACGAUCACGGGCCCUUCUUCUUCGAUCUGCAGCUACCUCCGUCGUACCCCGAUGCUCCACCACAAGUGUACUACCACUCCUACGGCCUACGCCUCAAUCCCAACCUCUACGAGUCUGGUACAGUGUGCCUCAGCCUGCUAAACACAUUCGGUGGCGAGGGCACCGAGGUCUGGUCGUCAACAACGUCAAGCCUCCUCCAAGUCGUUGUCUCCAUCCAGGGUCUCGUCCUCAAUGACCAACCAUACUACAACGAAGCCGGCUAUGAGACACUGGCCGACAAACCGGAGGGCCACCGCAAUGCACUGCCCUACAAUGAGAAUGCUUACCUACUAACCCCGCGGACCAUGCAACACCUUUUACGUCGGCCACCUCGGGGAUUUGAGGAAUUCAUCAAGGAACACUUCCGCCGCCAGGGAAAAUUAUUGCUUAGGACAUGCAAUGUGUGGCUUCAGGGAAAUGUUGUCGACGAUGCCCAUGCCACUGAAGCGACUAGGAAGCAACCAUGCUCGAAUGGGUUAAGGCUUGCACUCACAAACGUGAUGCCAAACCUCGUGGCAGCCUUCACCGAGAUCGGCGCCAAGGGGUGUGAAGAGUUCCAGUAG